rnacentral:rRNA from 1 species
GAUGAACGCUGGCGGCGUGCCUAAUACAUGCAAGUCGAGCGAACGGACGAGAAGCUUGCUUUUCUGAUGUUAGCGGCGGACGGGUGAGUAACACGUGGAUAACCUACCUAUAAGACUGGGAUAACUUCGGGAAACCGGAGCUAAUACCGGAUAAUAUUUUGAACCGCAUGGUUCAAAAGUGAAAGACGGUCUUGCUGUCACUUAUAGAUGGAUCCGCGCUGCAUUAGCUAGUUGGUAAGGUAACGGCUUACCAAGGCAACGAUGCAUAGCCGACCUGAGAGGGGGAUCGGCCACACGGGAACUGAGACACGGUCCAGACUCCUACGGGAGGCAGCAGUAGGGAAUCUUCCGCAAUGGGCGAAAGCCUGACGGAGCAACGCCGCGUGAGUGAUGAAGGUCUUCGGAUCGUAAAACUCUGUUAUUAGGGAAGAACAUAUGUGGAAGUAACUGUGCACAGCUUGACGGUACCUAAUCAGAAAGCCACGGCUAACUACGUG